rnacentral:rRNA from 1 species
GAGUUUGAUCCUGGCUCAGAAUGAACGCUGGCGGCGUGCUUAACACAUGCAAGUCGCACGAGAACGCUUCAGCUUGCUGGAGCUAGUAAAGUGGCGCACGGGUGAGUAACGCGUGGGUAAUCUACCUCCGAAUUGGGGAUAACACUGCGAAAGUGGUGCUAAUACCGAAUGACAUCUCAGGGACCUCGGUCUCUAAGAUCAAAGGUGGCCUCUACAUGUAAGCUACUGUUUGGAGAUGAGCCCGCGUACCAUUAGCUAGUUGGUAGGGUAAUGGCCUACCAAGGCUGCGAUGGUUAGCUGGUCUGAGAGGAUGAUCAGCCACACUGGAACUGACACACGGUCCAGACUCCUACGGGAGGCAGCAGUGAGGAAUUUUGCGCAAUGGGGGAAACCCUGACGCAGCAACGCCGCGUGAGUGAUGAGGGCUUUCGGGUCGUAAAGCUCUGUCAAGUGGGAAGAAUAUGCCCUGUGAUAAUACCAUGGGGCACUGACGGUACCACUGAAGGAAGCACCGGCUAACUCCGUGCCAGCAGCCGCGGUAAUACGGGGGGUGCAAGCGUUAUUCGGAAUCAUUGGGCGUAAAGGGCGCGUAGGCGGCCCCUUAAGUCAGAUGUGAAAGCCCUCAGC